CGCAAGCCUGAUGCAGCCAUCGCCGCGUGUGUGAAGAAGGCCUUCGGGUGUAAAGCACUUUCAGUUGUGAGGAAGGUGGUGUCGUUAAUAGCGGCAUCAUUUGACGUUAGCAACAGAAGAAGCACCGGCUAACUCCGUGCCAGCAGCCGCGGUAAUACGGAGGGUGCGAGCGUUAAUCGGAAUUACUGGGCGUAAAAGCGCAUGCAGGUGGUUUGUUAAGUCAGAUGUGAAAAGCCCGGGCUCAACCUCGGAAACUGCAUUUGAAAAACUGGCAGACUAGAGUACUGUAGAGGGGGUAGAAUUUCAGGUGUAGCGGUGAAAAUGCGUAGAGAUCUGAAGGAAUACCGGUGGCGAAGGCGGCCCCUGGACAGAUACUGACACUCAGAUGCGAAAGCGUGGGGAGCAAACAGGAUUAGAUACCCUGGUAG
rnacentral:rRNA from 1 species